rnacentral:lncRNA from 1 species
CAAUGACUCCCGAUCCAGAUGGCUCAGGGCACUAGGUGUAGAGACACCCUAACAGGCUUAAUAACUCAGGUUAACUAGGCUUCAAGGCCAAAUUAGUCACUCAGAGUUUAAUCUCAAUGAUCCUCACCUUUUUACGCGAACACUCGCUGCUUGCCAGGCAGGAGGCCCGGUUACUCAGUGAGAAGACUUAAAUUAAACUCAUUAUUUUAUUUUAUUUUAUCUUUUUUUCUUUUUUUUCUUUUUUUUUUGGUUUAGGCUAGGGUGUUCAUCACACAUAUAACUCUAAAUUAUCCCAAAAAUUAAAAGCAUUCAUAUUAGUCGUAAGUUUACAUACCCCACUAUUCAUGUGCUUAC